rnacentral:rRNA from 1 species
UACGUACGGGAGGCAGCAGUGAGGAAUAUUGGUCAAUGGACGAAAGUCUGAACCAGCCAAGUAGCGUGCAGGAUGACGGCCCUCCGGGUUGUAAACUGCUUUUAGUUGGGAAUAAAAAAAGGGACGUGUCCCUUAUUGUAUGUACCUUCAGAAAAAGGACCGGCUAAUUCCGUGCCAGCAGCCGCGGUAAUCGUA